rnacentral:tRNA from 1 species
GAAGAUUUAGUUAAAAUUAUAACAUUAACCUGUCAAGCUAAAAUUAUCAUUAGUGAUAUUCUUCU